AUUGAACGCUGGCGGCAGGCUUAACACAUGCAAGUCGAGCGGGGGAAGGUAGCUUGCUACCGGACCUAGCGGCGGACGGGUGAGUAAUGCUUAGGAAUCUGCCUAUUAGUGGGGGACAACAUCUCGAAAGGGAUGCUAAUACCGCAUACGUCCUACGGGAGAAAGCAGGGGAUCUUCGGACCUUGCGCUAAUAGAUGAGCCUAAGUCGGAUUAGCCAGUUGGUGGGGUAAAGGCCUACCAAGGCGACGAUCUGUAGCGGGUCUGAGAGGAUGAUCCGCCACACUGGGACUGAGACACGGCCCAGACUCCUACGGGAGGCAGCAGUGGGGAAUAUUGGACAAUGGGGGGAACCCUGAUCCAGCCAUGCCGCGUGUGUGAAGAGGGCCUUAUGGUUGUAAAGCACUUUAAGCGAGGAGGAGGCUACUCUAGUUAAUACCUAGGGAUAGUGGACGUUACUCGCAGAAUAAGCACCGGCUAACUCUGUGCCAGCCGCCGCAGUAA
rnacentral:rRNA from 1 species